GUCUCAGUAGCACGGUGAUUAAUGCACAAUCCUGGAUAGGUUGAGACGCGGGUUCGAAUCCCGCCUCAGAUG
rnacentral:tRNA from 1 species